AUUGAGAAGGGACUUUCCAGAGACUUUAGCGUGCAGGGUGUGGAAAGGGAAUAAAAGCAUAUGCAAAUGGGGUUUUUAGUCUCUUCCUUUCUAAUCAUAGACGGUGCAGGAGAGCAUGAGUGUUCCUCCUGAAGGCAGGCAGUAAAUGCUCCCCCUGACACUGCUUGUCAUCUGUCUUCUCUCUGACAGCAAGGCCUAGCGUGAAGGAGUGACCUAUGAAAAAUAAAACCAUGCAAAGGGGUUGACUGAAGAGGAGGAAGGAAACAUGAGGAGGAAGGGAAAAAAAAGCAUGGGAUUGGAAAAGAUAAAGUAAAAUGAAUUUUUAGGAUGCCACCGUGAGUAAGAGCUGGGGAAAAAAAUGAUUCUAAGCUGAUUUAUUAUGUACUUAUCUUCUGUCUGAAAGGCUGUAUGCUUUUAUGUAGUGGGGUUUUGUAGAGAAAAUGGCACAUGAAAGAUACGUUCAAGAUAUUUAAGCUUAUUGAAUGAUGUUAUAGUUAAAGCAGGAGGACGUGGUGAGCAUCACCAAGAUCCUUGGGAGAGAGUGUGCUGAAAUCACUCAAUGAGCAUUUAUUAAGACAUCAAAUGAAAUCUCAUCUUGCACUGUGGGUAUGGGGAAAGCAGCCCAUAUUACCCAUAUCUAGAAUUGAAUGCAAGCACAUGGGAAAAGCAGCAGACUUUGUUUGAGGCAAGAAGAUGGGAGAUACUCUAGAGAACCUGUAUCUUCAGCUUUGAGAACUGAAUUCCAUGGGUCGUCUUUGUAUCAGACCUAUGAAACUCAGUUCUUCAGCUGGGAUAUCUCUGCCGUCACAGACAAAGGGUGAAAUAUGAAAGCCUGGAACAUGAUUCUUUGGGAUCUUAGCAGAUCAGAAGCAAGGAGACAGACUCUACAGGAACAUGCAAUGGAGGACAUUUUCUAAUGGAAAGAAUCAUGAACUAGGAGUCCAGAGUCCUGGUCCUGUAUUUGGCUACAUCACAAACUGGCAGCAUGACCUCAGGCAUGGCAUUUAAAUGGUUUGUAUUUUAAUUUUCUCACCUGUGAAAUGAAAACAGACCUUCACUUAAGUGUCACUCUAAUGCCUUAUUGGAGUAUGGAGAUAAUUCUAGGUUCUCAAAAGCAAUACCAGCGGAGGACAAAUUGCGGGAAAUUCUAUGACUUGGAAAGGCUUGAGUUUGAACCCAAUGACAGACUGUACGGGUUGACUGAAGACCAGGCUAAUUAAGUGUGUAGUUUUCUCACCAGAAUGUUGACAACCAAGUAAUGACUUUUUUUGCCCAGCACAACUCAUUCUAUCUACUGAAGUAUGGGGGAGUGGUGGAGAGAUAACAAUCUGUAUUGGUAAAGGGAGUGUCCUCAAUGAUGAUAUCAUAGAUCUUCUGAAAUAUCGAAGUGUCACACCAGAGUAUUAUGGAGAACAGAUAAGAUAAUGCAGAUGAAAGUUCUUUGAAAUGAAUAAAGUAUUAUACAAAAGCAAUAUUAUGUUUUAUCUGAAGUCGUAAGAUCAUACAUUAAGAGCUGGCAAGAUCAGAGAGUGCAACCCUUCAUUUUGCAGAUAAGGAAUCUGAGGCCCAGAGAGAGAGAUCAA